UACGAAGGGGGCUAGCGUUGUUCGGAAUUACUGGGUGUAAAGCGCGUGUAGGCGGGAGGCCAAGUCUGUGGUGAAAUCGCUCGGCUUAACUGGGCGGGGUCCAUGGAAACUGGUCACCUGGAGGUCGGUAGAGGCAAGUGGAAUUCCCGGUGUAGUGGUGAAAUGCGUAGAGAUCGGGAGGAACACCAGUGGCGAAGGCGGCUUGCUGGGCCGGACCUGACGCUGAGACGCGAAGGCGUGGGGAGCGAACGGG
rnacentral:rRNA from 1 species